ensembl:snoRNA
ACUGAGGUCUAUCCUGAUGGGGCUUUGUCUCUAGACCUACAUCAUUGGAAACUCCUCAUAGAGUAUAUGUGUGGUUUUCUGUAUUCACAGAACUAUGUGUUUAGAUCUGUAGGAAGAACUGCAAGACGUCU